rnacentral:tmRNA from 1 species
GGGGGCGUGUUGGUUUCGACAGGUGAAGGAUUUAUUAUUAUGCAUGUCGCUUGGUUCGCGUUAAAAAACCAACUUAAAAAUAAAUGCAGAAAAAAAUGCGAAAGUUAACAAUUAUGCUCUUAGCAACAAUGCUAUGUAUGCAUAUGCGUAAUCUAUCUUGGUUAGAUAUAAAAUAAACUGGUUUUGACUAAUUUCGAUUGGUUGCAGUGGUCAAAGUCUAAAAAGUACCAAUCAACCUUAUAGCAAUGCCCAGUGCUAUAUUGAAAAUAUGGGCUGGCUGCAAAAAAAUUUGUUAUUUAAAAAAUUUUUGCGGUAACUAUUGAAAAAUAACUAAACAUGUAGUAUAAUAAUAAUGGAAUCAUUUGGACAUGGGUUCAAAUCCCAUCGCUUCCACCA